rnacentral:rRNA from 1 species
UGAGUAACACGUAUCCAACCUGCCGUCUACUCUUGGACAGCCUUCUGAAAGGAAGAUUAAUACAAGAUGGCAUCAUGAGUCCACAUGUUCACAUGAUUAAAGGUAUUUCGGUAGACGAUGGGGAUGCGUUCCAUUAGAUAGUAGGCGGGGUAACGGCCCACCUAGUCUACGAUGGAUAGGGGUUCUGAGAGGAAGGUCCCCCACAUUGGAACUGAGACACGGUCCAA